CAGCCGUAAACUAUGCGCGUUAGGUGUAUCGGUGACCACGAGUUACCGAGGUGCCGAAGGGAAACCGUGAAACGUGCCGCCUGGGAAGUACGGUCGCAAGGCUGAAACUUAAAGGAAUUGGCGGGGGAGCACCACAACAGGUGGAGCCUGCGGUUUAAUUGGACUCAACGCCGGACAACUCACCGGGGACGACAGCAAUAUGUAGGCCAGGCUGAAGACCUUGCCUGAAUCGCUGAGAGGAGGUGCAUGGCGUAGUCGUGU
rnacentral:rRNA from 1 species